AUUGAACGCUGGCGGCAUGCCUUACACAUGCAAGUCGAACGGCAGCACGGGGGCAACCCUGGUGGCGAGUGGCGAACGGGUGAGUAAAGCAUCGGAACGUGCCCGGAAGUGGGGGAUAACGUAGCGAAAGUUACGCUAAUACCGCAUAUUCUGUGAGCAGGAAAGCAGGGGAUCGCAAGACCUUGCGCUUUCGGAGCGGCCGAUGUCGGAUUAGCUAGUUGGUGAGGUAAAAGCUCACCAAGGCGACGAUCCGUAGCUGGUCUUAGAGGAUGAUCAGCCAACCUGGGACUGGGACACGGCCCAGACUCCUACGGGAGGCAGCAGUGGGGAAUUUUGGACAAUGGGGGCAACCCUGAUCCGGCCAUGCCGCGUGAGUGAAGAAGGCCUUCGGGUUGUAAAGCUCUUUCGGACAGAAAGACUCUGGUUAAUACCUGGGGUCCAUGACGGUACCGUAAGAAUAAGCACCGGCUAACUACGUGCCAGCAGCCGCCGUAAAAC
rnacentral:rRNA from 1 species